rnacentral:rRNA from 1 species
CCUACGGGGGGCAGCAGUGGGGGAUAUUGCACAAUGGGGGAAACCCUGAUGCAGCGAUGCCGCGUGAAUGAAGACGGCCUUCGGGUUGUAAAGUUCUGUCGCAGGGGACGAAAAUGACGGUACCCUGCAAGAAAGCUCCGACUAACUACGUGCCAGCAGCCGCGGUAAUACGUAGGGAGCAAGCGUUGUCCGGAAUUACUGGGUGUAAAGGGAGCGGAGGCGGGAGGAUAAGUUGAAUGUGAAAUCUAUGGGCUUAACCCAUAGCUGCGUUCAAAACUGUUCUUCUUGAGUGAAGUAGAGGCAGGCGGAAUGCCUAGUGUAGCGGUGAAAUGCGUAGAUAUUAGGAGGAAUACCGUUAGCGAAGGCGGCAAUCUGGCUGGAAACUGACGCUGAGGUGCGAAAGCGUGGGUAGCAAACAGGAUUAGAUACCCUGGUAGUC